GAUGAACGCUGGCGGCGUGCCUAAUACAUGCAAGUCGAGCGAACGGACGAGAAGCUUGCUUCUCUGAUGUUAGCGGCGGACGGGUGAGUAACACGUGGAUAACCUACCUAUAAGACUGGGAUAACUUCGGGAAACCGGAGCUAAUACCGGAUAAUAUUUUGAACCGCAUGGUUCAAAAGUGAAAGACGGUCUUGCUGUCACUUAUAGAUGUAUCCGCGCUGCAUUAGCUAGUUGGUAAGGUAACGGCUUACCAAGGCAACGAUGCAUAGCCGACCUGAGAGGGUGAUCGGCCACAGUGGAACUGAGACACGGUCCAGACUCCUACGGGAGGCAGCAGUAGGGAAUCUUCCGAAAUGGGCGAAAGCCUGACGGAGAAACGCCGCGUGAGUGAUGAAGGUCUUCGGAUCGUAAAACUCUGUUAUUAGGGAAGAACAUAUGUGUAAGUAACUGUGCACAUCUUGACGGUACCUAAUCAGAAAGCCACGGCUAACUACGUG
rnacentral:rRNA from 1 species